CUGUCUGCCUCGGCCUCCCAAAAUGCUGGGAUUACAGGCCUAAAAACUUUUUAAAAACAAUUACAUGGUAAAGAAUUCAGGGACCGGGGCCGGAUAAUGGCGGGCGCUGCAGAAGAUGCGCGAGCUCUUUUCCGGGCUGGGGUCUGCGCGGCCCUGGAGGCCUGGCCGGCCUUGCAGAUCGCUGUGGAGAAUGGCUUCGGGGGUGUGCACAGCCAGGAGAAGGCCAAGUGGCUGGGGCGUGCAGUGGAGGAUUACUUAACGCGCAAUGCUGACUUGGAGCUAGAUGAGGUGGAAGACUUCCCUGGAGAGCUGUUGACCAACGAGUUUGAUACAAUUGUGGAAGACGGGAGUCUGCCCCAGGUGAGCCAGCAACUGCAGACCAUGUUCCACCACUUCCAGAGGGGCGACGGGGCUGCUCUGAGGGAGAUGGCCUCUCACAUCACUCAAAGAAAACGCAAGGUCACAGCCACUGCACUUAAAACAGCUAGAGAGACUGAUGAGGAUGAAGAUGAUGUGGACAGUGUGGAAGACAUGGAGGUCACAGCUCCGAAUGAUGGGGCUGCCACAGAUGGGGUCUGCUCCCAGCCUGAACCCUCUGAUCCAGACGCUCAGACUAUUAAGGAAGAGGAUAUAGUGGAAGAUGGCUGGACCAUUGUCUGGAGAAAAAAAUGAGUGGGGAUGGUUGGAAAUGGCUUUGGGCCCUUAUUUGCUAGUUCUGAGAGUUGUCUGUAGGGUUGUUUUUUUUGUUGUUGUUUGUUUGUUUUUUUUGAGGAUUGCAGACCUGUGGACUGGUUACCCCAUCUCCACCCUCUCCCCUGUUUCCGUGUCUGGCUCCCUCCAGGGCAAGGAAAACCUAGGGUCCUUGGUCUUGGGGGUGGGGGGACCUUGUCCAGCACAUUCCCUUGGGCCUUUAGUUAACAUCUGAGUGACCAAGCCGGGUUCCCCAGUACAGUGUCUUUUGGGUGCAGUCAUUGUGAGGAAGGGGAUGAGUGAGUGUGGGUGUGGCUGGAGGAGGAGCUAGAUGCCAGUGGGCAAGUGGAUUUGGGGAGGAGAGGACCAGCAGCAGCAGCAGUACUCAGUGAUAAGGGGCUGGCUGGGUCAGGAAUGGUGAGAUGAACGUGCAAGUGGAAGAGAGAAUAGUUGAAGAUGUGAACGAAAGUAGCUCUGGAGCCUUUCCCUUACCCCAGCCCCCACACAUGCAACAGCUCUGUACCCCUGUCCAGAACUUGGAACCUCCCAGGAAUGCUGCCUUCCUGCAGCCCAGCCUCCAGCCCUGGGUUCCCUCAGGAAUUCGAGGACCUUGGCUAGGUGGUGAGCUUGGAAGAGCCGGGCUUUGUUUUCUGCCUCCUGUAACCUCUUUCCUUACUCCUUAUCCCAUCCCAUUUGAGUUCAGGGGUGAGGCUUAAGAUCUUAAUAAAUAAUAUCUUACAGAUUAAAAAAAAAAUUCAAACAGAGAAGACCACAUUUACAGGUGGAAAUCUGGGACUGUGACUAGAUUCAGUCAAUCACUUAUUCUUUUCACUAAUAUUUACCAUCUAAAAUUUAUUUAUAAAUACCUACUGUAUAUAUGGUGGCUAAAAAAAGCAAACAAAAUACACAUGGUUUCUACCUGUAUGGCACUUACAAUCAAAUGGGAGAGAGAAUCCAAAGAAAGCAAAUGUGUAUGUAGUUACACCUCGUGAUGGGUUCAAUGAAAGGUGUACUAUGAAAAAAGUAAGAGGUGAGGGGGCCUAUUUUGAUUGGCUUAUCAGAGAAGACCUAUCUGAGGACAUGACAUUUAAGCUCAGAACUGAAGAGAAGUCUAAGCCAAGGAAGAGUGGCUGCAAAACCCUAAAGGAAUGAAGGAGGUUAGCAUGUUUGAGGAGUUAUAGCAAGACUUGCACUAAAUUCUAGUGAGGGCAGAGAUCACUAGAGCAGGUUGGUCAAAUAUUGACGAGACUGGUGAAAUGCUGAACUUCAACCUAAGUGCAAAGAAAAGCUUUUGACAGAUUUUGUGUAGGAGAAUGAAUGGAUCAGAUUCAGAAAACAGAAGGAUCAGUUGAGCGACUACUGUAGUAGGCGAAACAAAAAGUGCCUGUCUGUUUAGACUAUGGCAGUGGCAGUAGAGAAGAGAAGUGGACAUUUGAAAAGUAUUUAGAAGGUAGAAUGGAAUGGAUUUAGUGUUGGAUUAGAAAUUGGGGGUGCGACAGUGAGAAAAAUCAGAGAUGGCCCUGUAGAUCCCAGAAUAUGCCACUCCAAAAUAGGAAAGAUUGUUGAGCUUCAAACAAUUAAAAAGAAAUAGAUACAGAAAAGCUAUCUCUAUUUGCCUAAAUGCAAGACACAGAUUUACAAAGACAAUAGGUACCCCCUCUCUACCAGGAAUCACAAAAGUUAACCACUGAACACAACUUUAGAUCCUUAUGGCCUCGCAAUGGCUGCGGAGGUAUCUACAUUAACAAGCUUUAUUUUUAAUUAAUUAAUUAAUUUAUUUAUUUA